GACGAACCGUCCAAACGUUAUUCGGAAUCACUGGGCUUAAAGCGUGUGUAGGCGGAUCGUUAAGUGUCUUGUGAAAUCCCACGGCUCACCCGUGGAACUGCUGGGCAUACUGGCGAUCUUGGGCCAACUAGGGGCAGUCGGAACAAGCGGUGGAGCGGUGAAAUGCGUAGAUAUCGCUUGGAACGCCGAAGGUGAAAACAGACUGCUGGGGUUGCGCCGACGCUGAGACACGAAAGCCAGGGGAGCAAACGGG
rnacentral:rRNA from 1 species